CAGAAUCAUUGAGGCUGGAAAUUACCUCUGAGAUCAAGUUCAACCUUUGACUGGUCACCACCUUGUCAACUAGACCACAGCAUUAAGGGAGACAUUCAGUCAUUUCUUGAACACCUCCUAGGAUGGUGACUCCAUCACCUCCCUGGGCAGCCCAUUCCAAUGCUUAACCACCAUUUCUGUGAGGAAAUUUCUUCUGAUGUCCAGUCUGAAUCUCCACUGGCACAGCUUGAGGCUAUGCCCUCUUGUCCUACCACAAUUACCUGGGAGAAGAGACCACCCCAAUCUAGCUAGAACCUCCUUUCAGGAAGGGAGCAAUAAGGUUCCCCUGGAGCCUCCUUUUCUCCGGGCUAAACCACCCCAGCUCCCUCUGCUGCUCCUCACAGGCCUUGUGCUUCUGACCUUCAGCAGUUCUGUUUCCCUUCUCGGGACUCGCUCCAGCACCUCAAUGUCCUUCUUGUAGUAAGGGGCCCAGAACUGGACACAGGAUUUGAGGUGCUGAGUACAAGGUGACAAUCACUUACUCCUCUGGUCUUGCUGGUCAGACUAAUUUCCAUACAAGCCAGGAAGCCACUGUCCUUCUUGGCCACCUGUGCACACUGCUGUUUCAUGUUUAGCCAGCUGUCAAACAGCACCCACACUAUGCAAUAACAUAACAUAGAUCACCACGAUGAAGUGUAUUACAAAAUCAUUUAUUAGACAUGUUUUGUUCCAUUAAACAUUCCCCCAAAAGUGUGUUUUCUAUAUGAUGCAUCCAUUAGGGUCUCCUGCUAUGUGGGGGAUUUUUGGGGCGACAAGGUAUUAUUUUUGCAGGCCAGGUAGAUGUGUAGAAAACUGAGAACUGACUGACUUCACACAGUUGGAGAAAAUAUGCUAUAUUAAAGCAGUAAGGCUUGUCAAGGAGAUGAAAGAGCCCUGGUUUGUGUGUAUUCAGCCAGUUACAUAGUACAGCAAAAACCUCCAGGCGAACAGUUUCAUUAAAUAUUAAUUUGUGAAGCACUUCAAAGUUUAGGCUGAGGCAUGCUUCUGUAUAAUACAUGAUAUUAUUUAUCAUCUAAAAAAGUUGUUUAGGAUGCAAUUAGGGAAUAAUCCUACAGCUCUCAGCAGUGAUUCAAUGGAAUUCAAGGAGGUCUCACAUCAUUUAACACAGACAAACAUACAGCAGAGGAAGGGCUUGCAAGUCUCUCUCCCUUUUAAUUUGGCAGAUCUGAGGGAAAAAAAAGUUGUGGGCUUUAAAGCAUGGCCUUUGAUUCAUUUGCUUGAACAUUUCAAGCUUAUCAAAGUAGCUUUGCUCACAGUUAGGAGUUGUUUACACUCAUCCAUGGUGCGUGGAAAAAUGGACAAAUAGUAGCCUUCACAGCAACACUAGUUAGAAGGUUUUGCAUAGGAUGGGCAACAGCUCAGCCUUAUUCUCCAGUCCCUUCCUUGCCCCUGAGCUGAAGCUGCUGUUGUUACAUUAAGAGCUUGGAAGCAGCAAAAAGAACAUCUUUCCAAGAAACAGAUGACUGAGCGGGGGCUGUGCCUUCAGGGAAGAUGACAGCAUGGAAGCCAGCAUGAAGCAGAGCACCUGUCCCCGUGCCCCCAGAGCUCCUCCUGCACAAGCUCUGGCUGGGCAGCACAGUCCAGCAAUGCAGGACAGUGCCUACCUGCAAGGCAGCUGGUACCUUGGGAUCAGCAAAGACCAAAACCUGUCUGCACCUACCCUCUGAUUUUAUAGGUAUACCUGUCCCUCAGAACCAGUGAAUCAGCACGAAUAAUAGUGAAACAUUAUUUCAACAGUAAAGACAAAAAGAUGUAAUUGUCUAAAAUAUAUGGGACUAUUCAGGGAAGUUAUGAUUUCACAUAAAAGCUGAAUUCAUGAAAUACACAGGAAAUCAAACCAGCAGGUUCUAUUUUCUUGUCAUUUUUGUGAAGUAUUUUAGAAAGCACUUAAGAGCAUACUCUCUUCUAUAAAGAAUUACUUUACCUUCUACUCACUUACCAAUAUUCAGCUCAGUGCAGCAUGCUAUGCUGUACAGUUGCUUAGUGAAUGUUCAUACAAGAAGUCCUAAAAAGCACUAUAAUAUCAAGAACUGCUUUGUAGGCCUAUUUUCUGUAACAGCUGGAUUGUUGUCCAUGUUCACAAAUUCCCUGCUGUAAAGCAACUAUUUCAGAAUCUCAUCUAGCUCCUUUACCAGAUCCACUACCAGGCCCCACUGAAAGAGGAAAAGAAGAGGAAAUACACAGAAACAUGAAUAAUUUGUUAAUGAGAAGCAGUUACUGUGAAGCGAAGCUCUCACGUUGGUGCAACUGAAGAAUUUUCCACCACACAGAAAGUUCUCAUAUUCUUUGCUAUUGAAAUGAAGCAAACCUCCAUUGCUGACUAUUAAAAAAACAGCUGAGGUAGGAGAGCCCAGCAGCACCACAUCUAACACUGCUCCACAGCCAGCUCCAGCUGAGGUUAGGAGGAGUCUCUGGAGGCGAUUUAGUCCUAGUCAUCCCCAUGGACACAUACUGGUUUUGAAGACUCCACAGCAGCCUCUAGGGGCAACCUGCUCCACUGUCUGACCACCCUCAUAGUAAAAGGUUUUUCUGAUGUUUCAACAUUCUCCUGUAUUUCAAUUUAUGCCCAUUGCCUCUCAUCCUGCCACUAAGCAGCAUCAAGAAGAGCCUGGCUGUGUUUAGACCCCCUUCCAUCAUGCAUUUGUGUAUUGGUAAGAAUCCUCAGCAUCCUCCAAGCAGAGCAGUUCCAGCUCAACCUCUGUAGAACAGAUCCUCUACUUCCUACCAUCACAGCCUUUUGGUGGCCUAGGUUCAUUAAAUCUGUGUCUCCCUUGUACCAAGGAAGCUCAGGUCUGAACACACCACUGCAGAUCUGAGGAAAGGAUCACCA
rnacentral:lncRNA from 1 species